rnacentral:tRNA from 1 species
AUUUAAGUAGUUUAUUAUAAAAUUUUGAUUUGUGGAGUCAAGGAUGUAGGUUUUACCUUAAAUA